rnacentral:misc_RNA from 1 species
UGGUUCUGGCAUCGAUGAAGAACGCAGCGAAAUGCGAUAAGUAAUGCGAAUUGCAGAAUCCGUGAGUCAUCGAAUCUUUGAACGCACAUUGCGCCCCUUGGUAUUCCGAGGGGCAUGCCUGUUCGAGCGUCAUUAUCACCCCUCAAACUUCGGUUUGGUGUUGGACUCAACCAUCUUUACUGCUGGUUGGCCUCAAAGACAGUGACGGCGUCCUAGAAGGAACCGGUACGAGGAGCUUUUCAUUAGGCAUGUAUCGGCAGGAUUCUACGCGGCGGCGGUCUUUUACUUAAAUUUUAACAAGUGUUGACCUCGGAUCAGGUAGGAAUACCCGCUGA